CGGCUUGGAGCCUGCAUUGCUGGAGCUGUGGUGUAGACUGGCAGCUGUAGCUCUGAUUCCAACCCGAACUUGGGAACUUCCAUAUACCGCAGGUGUGGCCCUAGAAGGAAAAAAAAGGAAGCAACAGUACUUGUGGAAGUGGUAAUAAUAACGGUAAGGUGACGGCGGGGUUUUAGGAGUAGAGCGCCGACCUCAGAGGCCACGGAGACGGGAAGCCGGGCCUCAGUUCUGCAGAGAGGCAUUUUGCGCGGAGCUUUGUCAUUUGGAAGGAUGCUUAUUACAGAGGGCUUUGUGGUAUCCCUUCCUCCUUUUUCCUCAAUUGUGGUGGUUUUCUGUCUGGCGUGGGCAGCGUUUGUGGCCAGGUCCUCUGAAGCAGCUCACCGAGCACUGAUGUUCAUUGUAGGACAAGCUGUGGGAACCUGGGAAGAGAAAGGAAAGUCACUUGGCCUCGAAGUGACCAGCGGCGCUUGGGAGAAAGCAGUGAGGGGGCCAGUGUGAGCCCAGUUUGUAGGAGUGCCAAUGCCUGGACCACAAGGCUAGGCUUUCAAUCCCUGUAGACCCUCUUGGCAGCGUGGACCUCAGCUCUUCUGGUUUGUCAUGGUGCCAAGGUCAGCAAGAUGCAGGGCUUCCACCUGAAGGCAGCUGGUCCCACCCCUGACACCCGACGGGGCUUUUGUCUCUUCUGACAUGACGCCUUUCAGAUGAAGGAAAACCAUGGCCGUGCUCUGCUCCCUUUCAUUCGCUGGCCGCCCUGCCCACCCAGAGGCGGGCAUCCUUUAGCCUCGUUCCUGAUGCUGCUGACGAUGGGCUGGGAUCAUUCUGCCAGCUCGGACUGCUCUCCCACCCGCAUCCGGGCACCUGCUGGCAUUGUGCUGCACCCUGGGGUGACGAGCGAUGCAAGGCCUGGGUCCCGAGGAGGUCACAGAGGCGGGUUUGUGGGCCCCGGAGGAGGAAUGUGACCCUCGACGUUCAUUGUAACACCGAGCAUCUGCAUCCAUAGACGCCCCUCUUGUUCUCUGGCCUCAUGGGUGGGAGCCAGAAAUGGGAGCUCGCUGGGCCUGGGUAUCUUAUGAGGAUGGAAUGGAUUGGAGCAAGGAAGAGGCGGGUGUGGACUAGGCCCCUGAUGGGACUCCCUGGUCCUGUUCUCCCUUCAGCCUUGGACCAGGGCACUGUGGCACUGCAUAUGCCCUGCUGUGCUGUGUAGCUGUGCACACUGCCUUGCCUGCCUCUUUGCCCCAUUUCCUGUCCUGGAAAGACGGGGUGAUCCUUAGAAGCUGCGAAGAACAGUGACAUAACCCAAGAGCUAUUUGAGUUCUCGGGCGGAAGAUGCUUUAUAAGCUGUCUCUGUAACUGGCCUGGGCAGCAGAGCUGGGAAAGGAAGUCCAGCUUCUCACACCUUCUUGCUUUUUAGCAAAAAAAAAAAAAAAAA